GAGAUGUGUGAUGACGCAUAUCAAUAAGCGGAGGAAAAGAAACUAACAAGGAUUCCCCUAGUAACGGCGAGUGAAGCGGGAAGAGCUCAAAUUUGAAAUCUUAAAGGGUUUCCCUUUACGAAUUGUAGUUUAAAGGAAGUGUUUUCUGUUGGAGUUUCGGUAAAAGUUCUUUGGAAUAGGACAUCAUAGAGGGGUGAGAAUCCCGUAUUUGGUCAUUCUUUCUAGCUUUGUGAUACACUUUCAACGAGUCGGAUUGUUUGGGAAUGCAGUCCAAAAUGGGUGGUAAAUUUCAUCUAAAGCUAAAUAUUGGCGAGAGACCGAUAGCGAACAAGUACCGUGAGGGAAAGAUGAAAAGAACUUUGAAAAGAGAGUUAAACAGUACGUGAAAUUGUCAAAAGGGAAGCGUUUGACACCAGUGUUGUUUAGUUCGAAAAUCAAUUACGAAUGUUUUGAUUUUGAGUAGUUAUGACUUCAUCAGCUUGCUGCUCUCUUUAUCGGAAACUUAUCUUAAUGCACUUUUCAGGUUAACAAGUCAACAUCAAUUUCCUUUGUUGUAAAAGGGUAAUGAGGAAGGUGGCCUUGCGUUUCGGAUAAAGUGUUUAUAGCCUUGUACCUCUGCAAUCGGAGAGAUUGAGGUCUGCAGCGUAGAUCCUUCGGGGUUAGAUACAUUUGUGCUAAGUUAUAGCUUUGUCAUAGACAAGCUUGUUGAUUAUGUUAAGUCAUUGUAGCUUACUCGCUUAUGCUAUUUUACCUACGCUUAGGAUGUUGAUAGUCACAGCGUGUAC
rnacentral:rRNA from 1 species